UAAAGUUUGGCAACAACUGUGGAUGAAGUGGAGCUGUCAGUGGCCUGGAUCUGAGACUGCUGGAGGUCUACAAAGCAACAACCAAAUCUGGAAAGAAGCAGCCACUCAAAGACAUUUUGGACUGCCUUGCAAAAGAUGACACGAAUGAAAGGAGAAGGGUUGCUGCUCUGCUUGGUUUGCCACGCUACAUAUCUGGGGAAGAUCCAUCAACUGUCAUCAGGAUGUGUGAUGCUCGUGCUGAUAUUCUGGAUGAUGCCAUGAAGGGGAUGCAGGUUGGUCUCCUGAUUGCCUGUGAAGGUAGUGAACUGGGGGCCAUCCCACACGAGGUCUUCGACGUGGCAGUUGUGGUGGAGGAGACCAUUGUGCUUCACAACAUUAAAGAUGUGAC